UUUCCCAAAGCUUCUUGUCAGAAGCACACCAAGCAAGCAGUUUAUCUGAAAAAAAUGGGCCAAUUUUAGUGAACAAUAAACUCAACAGGAGGCAACAUGAGCUCAGAUUUGGGACUGCCAUAUUGUACUGUUUUCUCCUGCCUACCUUCAAUUUCCAGUUAAAUGCUACCUUCUGCAAGAAGCCUUUCUCAAUCCCCUUUAAUGUGAGUAAUUUUCCUGUUUAUCUCUCAUUUAAUCUGCCUAUAUCUUAUUUGUAUAUAGUUAUUUGAAUGUUUGUGUACAGUCAUUUGUAUGUGGUCUAUAUGCUCCAGGAAAACAGAGAUUAUCUUGUCUUUUUUAUAUCCUUGGUGUUUAGUACAAUAUCUGAUUGACACACAGUAGGUAUUUAAUAACUUAGUAACAUUAUAGAUGCUGUUUAAUGUAAGGUGAUACCCUGUAUAUGGAAAGAGAGGCUAGAAUUACAUUGUAUCACACAGACUGAGAAUUUAUAUGAUUAACUGAACUUUCCCAUUUACCACCGAAUGUUUUGGAACAAAAAAGACCUAGAAGGGAUGUCCCAUUGAUGACAUCUAAGACCAGUUUUUUGUUUUCAAUAGCAGAGGACCUUCCUCUUAGCUGUAACAUUUUAUGUCAGUGACUAAGUCACCCGUUAAUCAGGGAAUCUCACCAGUGCUGUUAUUACCAAAUAGCGUACUUUCAUAUAAUUUGUUAACCAUGGUGGAAUCCACCGGGACAAAGUGUUCAUCUGGGUACCUGGCUACGAUGACUCUGGAUGACAAUCCCUUGCCUGAGCUUCAAGUAGCAACACUAACCUGCUCUCUAUUUUCACAUUUAAUUUUCCAUUUGACAUUGCUAUUCCAUACCCUUUCUGGAGUCGUGCCUCCAUUUCGCAGUGGUCACAGGAGACAUUUCUUAAUUGUUUCUGAAUGAGGAGCAGAGGCUUUUAAUUAUCUUUCAUUGCACGAACACAUACUGGGCACAAUCCAAGUAUAAUGUGGUCUGACUUUUUUUUUCCUUGUUGGCACUGUAGGGUUUGGGGGAAUCAAAACAAGAGUCCAGAAAAGCAAUAUUCUUUGAACCUGCAGAACAAGUUUAGCUAGAAUGUCAAAGGCUUCUCCUGGCACAUGUUUAUAUGACGUACUCAUUGGUACGAGAGGAGGAUCUUUCAAAUGAUAGAGCACAGUAGGCAUUAUACAUUCUACAUUAACAAGGAUAUAUUUUUAUAUUGUGUUCUUUCUUUUCGUGGUUUUUUCUUGAAUCUACCAUCCAUUUGGAUUAGUCUCCUACUUCUUCCUUUGACCUGGGAAGAGCGAUGUGAAUACAAAGCACUCACAGUUUUGUAACCAAACCACUAUAUCCAUUCGUUAUUCCUCUCCCCCUACUUUUUUUUUUCUGAAAGCAUGAUUUCUCAUCUGGCUUUAAUAUUCCACAGUCAUGUAGGUAAGAGAAAACUCUAAGACUUGGCAAACAGAUCCAGAGUACAGCAGCUUUCCUGAGUAACAUGAAAUGUUUCAUAAUUCCAAGAGAGAGGGAUUUUUUAAACAUCAUAGAAAAUGGUCAUCUCAUUUUGUUUUUUUUAAUUAAAUUUUAUUUUUCCAACUAAGCACUUAUUUUUUCUCUUUACCCUAUGAACAACAUAAGAAAAGAAAAAUUCUUAAUGCAAAUAUAAUUAGCAAAAGCACAAAAAUCCCACACUGGUCAUGUCCAAGCUGUACAGACCUUAGUGGGUAUUCAAAGUACAUCAUGACAUCUCUGGCUUUACUGUGGUCCUCCUGAUUCGUGCUAUGCACAGCACUGAUGAGAGAUCUAAUGGCUUUUCAAAUGUUCUUUUAAAAGUUAUUUCAUUGUAUAAAGUGUAGAAAGUCUUGUUCGGCUCAUUUCCCUCUGCAGCAGUCUAUAGGUCUAUUCCAGUUUCUACUAAAAUAGUCCAUUUCCUCAUUUCUUAUUGCAUAAUAAUAUACCAAUGAUUUUCAUUUUGUUUCUAGAUAAUUACAUCAUAUUGAGGGCUCCCCCUUCUCUUUUUUUCAUGGCCAGACUAUUUAAUACUGAACCUAACAGCAAUCAUGCUGGCUCCUUUGUAUACGUGAUCUACAUGAAAUUUAAACAGCAUGAUAUUAAAGACCAUUUAAAAGACCAUAAAAUGAUUUAAGGACCAUGAUAUUAGAGAAUAUUAGAAAUGUUGUUUUUAACAUUAUUAGAAACAAAAGUUAGAGGAAUCAAGUUGAGUAAGGUAGUAGACAGACACCUGUAAUCUCUGCUUCUAGGGAAGGAUGAGGUUGAUGGAUAGCUAGAAUUCAGGAGUUCAGAGUUGAGACACUGUCAAUCAGAUGUACUCAUUAAGUCUGAUACAGCAAAUCCUCAGGAACUGCGGGGGUAAGACACUGCCUAAAGUGGGGUGACUGGCUUCAGACAGAAAAAUGGAGUUGAUACUAUACUGUUCAACACUGGGACUGAGUGGUUGUAACACUCCUAGCCCAGGAAAGAUAGGAAGACUUAGGCUAUAAAAUAAAUACAAAAAUAAAAUCAUCUGAAUCCAAUGUUUGGUCUCCAUCAUCUUGUACCAUACAGACCCUUUAUUUAUGACACUCCAUUGGCCUUUAUAAUUUACUAGCUUCUGGAAUUGGUUACCUGCUCAAGGGUAUACCUAUGUCUUUUCCUCUAACCUAGACUGCCCCUAGAGGGACCUGUCUCUUUUCUAACCUUUCAAUGUCAAGCACAGCACUUUAUAUAGUGGUAGUGCUUCACAAAUAAUUUGUUGAUGGAUAUCCAAAGACUCAAAAUUACAAAAAAUUCUAGGAAGAAAUUCUCAGAUUCUUUUCAAAGAAAAACCAUCUAGUCUAGGGAUGCCCAAAUGAAUAAGUCCCCCAAGUUUCAAGAAUUCUUUGGGGGCAGGGCAGCCAUCUUGGUAGAAUGAUCCUGAAUAUCAGAUUUUGGAGGUGAUGAAGUGAGCAGAGAAGAAAGGAUUGUUAGAGCCAGAUUCUCUAUUGAGAAUUUUUUUUUUUUUUUUUAGAGAUGAGGAGACUCAAGACCACAAUGUGCCUUGAACAGCCUCUCCCAGCUCACUCUUCAGUAAGAUGAGGUUCACAUAGGAGCUCUUUCCAUGAGACCAGUUAUGGUUGUCAGCAUAUUUGUUUGGUACAGACUAUAUUCAAAAUAACUAGCAUACAGUGCCUUAAAUUUAUCAAAGGCCACCUUAGAGAUCACUGAGGAAUUUAUAAAUGAGGAAACUGUGGCCCGCAGACAUUAGAUAAUUUGUCCAGGUUCAUUCAGCAACUGAGUGUUAGAAGCAAAAUUUAAAGUCUGGUCUUCCUCACCCAUGUCCAGUGCUAGAAAUAAUAACUGACUUAUGAAAGGGGGGGGGGGGAGUAGGGACAGAACAACAGGGUAAAAAAAUCCACUUUUUUCAACUUUAUUUCUUAUUAAAAAAUAAAACAUUGCACUUAGAAAAAUUAAUUACUCUCCUAAGGUUUACAGUAUAUGUGAAAGUAGAAUUCUCUUACUCCUCCAAGGUUCUGACAUCAAUGCACAGAAUAAACCCACAUUUCAUCCAGUUCCCACUUAAAAGUAAUUUUUCAAUCUGCUUAAAAUAAAUGCUCUAAAAAAGCACCCGAGAAAAAGUAACUCUCACAAUUCUCUCCCUUUUUCCCUUCUUCUCUCUUCUCUCUCUCCCUCAUCUGUUUGCAAACUCUGCCUGACACAUUUCCAUCUUGUUGUUACAAAGCACUUCACUUUGUACUUGGCAGAGCUACUAGAUGUCCUGAUUUUUCUAUUUCUGUUAUGACAGUUCUUUGCAUUUGAGACCAUCAGCAAUAGAGUUCUGCAAUUGAAGUAACAAGAUAUAGCAGGAGAUCUCCAGCAACUGCUUCUCAGACUGUUCAUAAAUAACAUGUGAACAGAGCUUUCACAUGGGCAUAAGAAAAAGGGGUUGGUUCUCUAACCACUUUGUCUAAGAUUAUUCUGGGGAAAAAAAAUCAAACCCAAACAUUAAUUACAUCUGGAUAUGUUUAAAUGCCAUUAAAAUAUGCACUGUGUGAACUACGGGGGAUUCAUGUUACUUCCAAAAAUGGAGUCUGUGCUAUGGGUUUCUAACGCCAUCUCAAAGGAGGGUGGUUUCCUUCUCCACACAGAGCAAACACUCUGGCACACUCCAAACACAACUUUUCAGAGUUAUAUUUCACCUGCACAAAUGGAAAAUACCUUAACAGAUAAUAUCAGGAUUUUACCCAUGAGCUGUUUCAAGGAGAGAAAGAAGAGGACAUCCAGAAAUGGGCCACAAGGGCUCUGACUAGCUUUCUAUUUGAAAGUAUCUAAGUCGGUGGUGUGCCAAGACAAACAAAGUCCCAAGCAGAGGGAUGGUGUGGAGAUCCUAUUUCAAUAACUAAGCAUGUCAGGAGGCAGUGCACCUCAGAGCAACCAAAGAGGGAGAGAGGAAUAGAACCAUGGAUAUCCCGGGAACACUUGGAGGUUUAAUGGACUUUAUACAAUAACAACUGCACUAAGAAAUGGAAAAGGAAAAUCAGAAUGUCACAACUCAGGUAAAAACAAUGAAGAGAAAAUGUAAAGGAAUUUGUGCAUAUCUAUUGAGGAGGCUCAGAAAGUGUCCAUGGUCUCACCUUUUAGUUCAUUAAAGAAAAACACAUCCUGGUAUUCCUUCAUGUACUGUGUAGACCAAGAUUCAUCCAAGAAGAGAAGACACCCACUUAACGUCAUCUACCUGCAUCUCAGGAUUGGACUUUCAGCCCACGAGGCUGCUGGCUGUGAUAAGCUGGAUGGUGUAGUGCAGAGGGUUCUCCAGCCCAAUUCAGAGUUGAUCUGCUCCUGUACCUCUGACUUGAUCUCCUCCCAUGUCACCUGAGAAGAGUGCCAGGAACCCCCAUAUACAAACAAACCACUGAGAACAGAACAGUUGUUGUUUAGUCAGAACUAAAGAUACUGAAGGAAGAGAAAGAGGAGAGCCUGAAUUGGUCUUUGGCAUCUAUCAAAAAAGAAGGCAUGCAUUUUAUUAAAGCUUGAGGAUGAGGAAAGGGAACAAGGACAUAGUUGAGGCAAAGCAGCAGAAUGGAGAGAGGAAUUUAAUUCAACUGAAUUCCACAAACAUUUAUUAAGACCCACUAGAUGUCAGACACCAGACUGAUUCCUGGAAAUACAAAGAGAAAAAAAGAAAAUGUCCUUGUCUUCAUGAAGCUCAUUUUCUACUGGGGAGAGACAAUAUGAAACCAGAUCAGUGAAUAUAAAAUAAACAUAAGGUGAGGAAAAAUCAUGUGGAUUUCCAAUGGAGGUUAUGUCUUCGCUGAUUCUUAAAGAUGACCAGCAGAAAUUUUGAAAGGAAUGAUGUUGCCAGAAUUCAUGGGUUCUUGUCUUUGCUAAUAAAUAUUUAACUACAUUCUGGGGUUGACUUUGUAAACAAAAAAUCUGGUCCUCCCUCCUCCUCGGGCCCAUCCUCUGGUUUCUGCCAGAAUCCCUCCUCCACAUGGAUCAAGUUUCCAUUCAGUUUUUCUUUCUAGUUUUUCAUCUGUUCUGCUCUUCUAAAAUCAGUCAUAAUUGUGAAGAUUUGGGACUGAAGGCAAAAGAACAGACUUUGGAGUCAGGGAAAGUUGGUUCAAAUCCUCUCUCUAAUGAUCACACUAGUGAUGGCAAGACAUUCCAUCCUCCAGGAGUCUUAAUUUCGUCUCUGGGGUUAGAGCAGACAGCCUCUCAGCCUUCCAGAUCUAGACCCAGAUCAUGGGAACAAUUUGCUAUUUCUUCCCUUAACGGUUACUGAAGAGUAGCACAAAUAGCUAUAUUCUUUUAAAGGAUAUCUUAAAGGAUCUCAUUUUAGAAAAGAGAAAUAUCUAUCACAGGAAUAGACUAAAUGGCCAAGAUGUUUUAAGGAUUUAUUUAAAGAGCCCAAAUGGUAUCCAGGAGAGAAAGGAAGGCUUACAAUCAGGAAAAUCCAAGCUUUGUCUCUAAUAUGUAGGAUCUUAGGAUCCUGGGCAAAUUUUUUAACCCCGUAGUGCCUGAUGCAAUUCUCUUAGGAAGGAAAACUUAGAAGGAGUUGCCAAUCUGCAUCCAAAGCUUCCUAAAAAGAGGAUUUCAAAAGAAAAUAAUGAUUUCAAAAAUUAUUCACAAGUAUUCAUCAAGAAGGGGAGGAAAAAAGCAACUCCAAACUAUGGCAUUUUGCCUAAAAAAUGGUACAAAUCUGGAGCCAACCUUUGAUUUAGGGAUCACUGGGAGAAAAGAGGUUAUGCAGCAGGAACCUGUAUGCAGUAAGUGAACAUGUUGUUUAGCUUCGUAAGAUACACAAAUACCGUAUUUGGAAAACAGGUUCUCAGCAUAAGGUAAAUUGUUUCUAAUACUGGAUAAACCAAGAUGUGAUUGCUAUGGAAUCGAGCUGCUGAGCCCAACAUUACUUGGCACAGGAUAUACAUUCUUAGUCAACUGAAUCAAUCAACAAGUAUUUACAAGAGAGGGCUGAGAGCUAAGGUGAAUUUUUAAUUUUCAUGGACGUUUACCCAUCAAGUUGGCGUUACUACAUAUGGUCAUUACUGUGUCUGAUUAUUUGCUACUCACAGCCUCAACUAUAGGAAUCUGGCAACAUUUUGUUCCUAUUUCUGAACUAAAGAAUCUUGAAGAUCUGUUCACCACUUGAUUUAUCAACAAUAUAAUGGGUACUAUGGUGGAUGAUAUGGUGAAUAAAACAUAAAAAUAUGA